UAGUCUGUUGUUACUGAAAUGGUAUCAUAGAAAGCGUCAGAAUGCAACAAGUGCCAUGGAUGGAAAACAGAAGAGUAACUGGAUCAAGAGCCUUACGGCAAGCACCAUUUUGAUUACGUCACUUCUCUCUUCCAGGAGCAUCUUUGCAUCCUACUCCCAGCUGAACCUUGCUGUUGGCUUGUACUUCGAAUCCAUGACCAAAUAUUACAUAAGG